rnacentral:rRNA from 1 species
AGCAGCCGCGGUAAUUCCAGCUCCAAUAGCGUAUAUUAAAGUUGUUGCAGUUAAAAAGCUCGUAGUUGAAUUUCGGGAUUAGUAAGUUGGUCGUGCCUCUGGUAUGUACUGGCUUUACUGGUUCCUCCUUCUUGAAGAACUGUAAUGUUAUUAAUUUGGUGUUGCAGGGAAACAGGACUGUUACUUUGAAAAAAUUAGAGUGUUUAAAGCAGGCUAACGCUUGAAUACAUUAGCAUGGAAUAAUGAAAUAGGACGUUUGAUCCUAUUUUGUUGGUUUCUAGGAUUGACGUAAUGAUUAAUAGGGAUAGUUGGGGGCAUUAGUAUUCAAUUGUCAGAGGUGAAAUUCUUGGAUUUAUUGAAGACUAACUACUGCGAAAGCAUUUGCCAAGGAUGUUUUCAUUAAUCAAGAACGAAAGUUAGGGGAUCGAAGACGAUCAGAUACCGUCGUAGUCUUAACCAUAAACUAUGCCGACUAGGGAUCGGAUGAUGUUAAUUUUUUAAUGACUCAUUCGGCGCCUUA